rnacentral:rRNA from 1 species
UACGUAUGGUGCAAGCGUUAUCCGGAUUUACUGGGUGUAAAGGGAGCGCAGGCGGCACGGCAAGCCUGAUGUGAAAGCCCGCGGCCCAACCGCGGGACUGCAUUGGGAACUACCGGGCUGGAGUGCCGGAGAGGUAGGCGGAAUUCCUAGUGUAGCGGUGAAAUGCGUAGAUAUUAGGAGGAACACCAGUGGCGAAGGCGGCCUGCUGGGCUUUUACUGACGCUGAGGCUCGAAAGUGUGGGGAGCAAACAGG